AUUACUUUGACAGAAAAGUGUAAUAAAUUUAGAAUUUAAAAAUGUAAUAAAUUUUACAAGUAAUA
rnacentral:tRNA from 1 species